rnacentral:misc_RNA from 1 species
GAUGAAGAACGCAGCGAAAUGCGAUAAGUAAUGUGAAUUGCAGAAUUCAGUGAAUCAUCGAAUCUUUGAACGCACCUUGCGCCCUUUGGCCAUUCCGAAGGGCAUGCCUGUUUGAGUAUCAUGAACACCUCAACUCUUCAUGGAUUUCCAUGAUGAGCUUGGACUUUGGGGGUCUUGCCGGCCUAGUGUCGGCUCCUCUCAAACGGAUCAGCUUGCCAGUGUUUGGUGGCGUCACAGGUGUGAUAACUAUCUACGCUUGUGGUCCCCCGCCAUGUAACCUUCAGCGAUGGAGGUUCGCUGGAGCUCACAGAUGUCUCUCCUCGACGAGGACAGCUUUUUGAACGUUUGAUCUCAAAUCAGGUAGGACUACCCGCUGAACUUAAGCAUAUCAAUAAGCGGAGGA